rnacentral:rRNA from 1 species
UACGUAGGGGGCUAGCGUUGUCCGGAAUCAUUGGGCGUAAAGCGCGUGUAGGCGGUUCGGUAAGUCCGCUGUGAAAGUCGGGGGCUCAACCCUCGGAUGCCGGUGGAUACUGUCGGACUAGAGUACGGAAGAGGCGAGUGGAAUUCCUGGUGUAGCGGUGAAAUGCGCAGAUAUCAGGAGGAACACCGGUGGCGAAGGCGGAUCUCUGGGCCGAUACUGACGCUGAGGAGCGAAAGCGUGGGGAGCGAACAGG